CUCAUUUUAAGAGAUUACAAUUGCACAACUUUUGUUGAUGAAGCACAACUGCCAGGGUUGGACUGUUUUUGGGGGAAUAGGGCAAAUUUAUUUGUUUUAGUUUGUAUCCUUUUUGUUGCUGUUCUGGAAAAGGACAAGAAGAAAAAAACUGGGAGAAGACAGGGAGAAGAGCCCAUCCUUAUACUGCAAGGCACUGUUAAAAUAGCCUGCAUACUCAAUAAAUGGCUUCUGUACAACAGCUUAUUAGAAAAAAAACACCCUGAUUCAACAAACACAAAAUUACAUCUUCAUAAAUGCAAUCAGAAGAAAACAACAGAGGAAACAGAGAAGAAUCACAGGAACUGUACAUGCUGCUCGUUGAAGCCUGCCACCUGUUGCUGCUCUUACCCUGAGAGGAAGGAAGGAAGACUACACGUGGCAGCAAGAGGCCAGGGAAUGACCAGGUGGUAA
rnacentral:lncRNA from 13 species